CCUACGGGCGGCAGCAGUAGGGAAUCUUUCACAAUGGGCGAAAGCCUGAUGGAGCAACGCCGCGUGCAGGAUGAAGGCCUUCGGGGUGUAAACUGCUUUUAUAAGCGGGAAAUAUGAUGGUAACUUAUGAAUAAGGAUCGGCUAAAUACGUGCCAGCAGCCGCGGUCAUACGUAGGAUCCGAGCAUUAUCCGGAGUGACUGGGUGUAAAGAGUUGCGUAGGUGGCAUAAUAAGUAGCUAGUGAAAUCUGGUGGCUAAACCAUUCAGACUAUUAGCUAAACUGUUAAGCUUGAGACCGUUAGGGGUAAGUGGAAUUUCUGGUGUAGGAGUGAAAUCCGUAGAUAUUAGAAGGAACACCAAUAGCGUAGGCAGGUUACUGGGACGGUUCUGACACUAAGGCACGAAAGCGUAGGGAGCAAACGGGAUUAGAUACCCCAGUAGUC
rnacentral:rRNA from 1 species